GGCUGCUCGAUCUUAGGAGCAGUCUGGCCUGCCCACUGAAUUUUUUGAAGGGCCGCGGUAUCUUGACCGUGCGAAGGUAGCAUAAUAAUUAGUCUUUUAAUUGAAGACCGGAAUGAAGGGUCGGACAAGAGGCAACCUGUCUCAAUCUGAUUUAUUUAAAUUAACCUUUAAGUGAAAAGGCUUAAAUGUACUUGUAGGACGACAAGACCCUAUAAAACUUUAUAUAUUUUAUAUAUACCUCCCGAAUUAUUUGUGAAAAGCCGGGUAUUUUUAAAUGUAUUUCGUUGGGGCGACGAGAGUAAAAUUAACUAACUGCUUUUCCUUCUUUACAUUUAUAGAUGUCUUCAGUUGAUCCUGAUUUAAGAUUUUAAGAAAAAGUUACUUUAGGGAUAACAGCGUAAUUUUUUUUGAGAGUCCUUAUUGACAAAAAAGCUUGCGACCUCGAUGUUGAAUUAAAAUAACCUGAUGGUGCAGCAGCCAUUGAGGUAGGUCUGUUCGACCUUUAAAAUUUUACAUGAUUUGAGUUCAAACCGGUGUAAG
rnacentral:rRNA from 1 species